CGUGUGACUGCGUACCUUUUGUAUAAUGGGUCAGCGACUUAUAUUCUGUAGCAAGGUUAACCGAAUAGGGGAGCCGAAGGGAAACCGAGUCUUAACUGGGCGUUAAGUUGCAGGGUAUAGACCCGAAACCCGGUGAUCUAGCCAUGGGCAGGUUGAAGGUUGGGUAACACUAACUGGAGGACCGAACCGACUAAUGUUGAAAAAUUAGCGGAUGACUUGUGGCUGGGGGUGAAAGGCCAAUCAAACCGGGAGAUAGCUGGUUCUCCCCGAAAGCUAUUUAGGUAGCGCCUCGUGAAUUCAUCUCCGGGGGUAGAGCACUGUUUCGGCAAGGGGGUCAUCCCGACUUACCAACCCGAUGCAAACUGCGAAUACCGGAGAAUGUUAUCACGGGAGACACACGGCGGGUGCUAACGUCCGUCGUGAAGAGGGAAACAACCCAGACCGCCAGCUAAGGUCCCAAAGUCAUGGUUAAGUGGGAAACGAUGUGGGAAGGCCCAGACAGCCAGGAUGUUGGCUUAGAAGCAGCCAUCAUUUAAAGAAAGCGUAAUAGCUCACUGGUCGAGUCGGCCUGCGCGGAAGAUGUAACGGGGCUAAACCAUGCACCGAAGCUGCGGCAGCGACGCUGAUGCGUUGUUGGGUAGGGGAGCGUUCUGUAAGCCUGCGAAGGUGUGCUGUGAGGCAUGCUGGAGGUAUCAGAAGUGCGAAUGCUGACAUAAGUAACGAUAAAGCGGGUGAAAAGCCCGCUCGCCGGAAGACCAAGGGUUCCUGUCCAACGUUAAUCGGGGCAGGGUGAGUCGACCCCUAAGGCGAGGCCGAAAGGCGUAGUCGAUGGGAAACAGGUUAAUAUUCCUGUACUUGGUGUUACUGCGAAGGGGGGACGGAGAAGGCUAUGUUGGCCGGGCGACGGUUGUCCCGGUUUAAGCGUGUAGGCUGGUUUUCCAGGCAAAUCCGGAAAAUCAAGGCUGAGGCGUGAUGACGAGGCACUACGGUGCUGAAGCAACAAAUGCCCUGCUUCCAGGAAAAGCCUCUAAGCAUCAGGUAACAUCAAAUCGUACCCCAAACCGACACAGGUGGUCAGGUAGAGAAUACCAAGGCGCUUGAGAGAACUCGGGUGAAGGAACUAGGCAAAAUGGUGCCGUAACUUCGGGAGAAGGCACGCUGAUAUGUAGGUGAGGUCCCUCGCGGAUGGAGCUGAAAUCAGUCGAAGAUACCAGCUGGCUGCAACUGUUUAUUAAAAACACAGCACUGUGCAAACACGAAAGUGGACGUAUACGGUGUGACGCCUGCCCGGUGCCGGAAGGUUAAUUGAUGGGGU
rnacentral:rRNA from 1 species